rnacentral:rRNA from 1 species
UUCGCAAUGCCCGAAAGGGUGACGAAGCGACGCCGCGUGUGGGAAGAAGGCCUUCGGGUUGUAAACCACUGUCGGGAGUUAAGAAAUGUAAGGAUGUUAAUAGCGUCCUUACUUGACUAAGGCUCCGGAGGAAGUCACGGCUAACUCUGUGCCAGCAGCCGCGGUAAUACAGAGGCGGCAAGCGUUGUUCGGAAUUAUUGGGCGUAAAGAGCACGUAGGCGGCCUUGUAAGUCAGUUGUGAAAGCCUUCUGCUUAACGGAAGAACAGCAUCUGAUACUGCAAGGCUAGAGUGCGGAAGGGGAGAGUGGAACUUCUGGUGGAGCGGUGAAAUGCGUAGAUAUCAGAAGGAACACCGGCGGCGAAGGCGACUCUCUGGUCCGUAACUGACGCUGAGUGUGCGAAAGCUAGGGGAGCAAACGGGAUUAGAUACCCCGGUAGUCCUAGCCGUAAACGAUGGGCACUAAGUAGAGGGGUUUU